rnacentral:rRNA from 1 species
ACUUAAAUUGAAGAGUUUGAUCAUGGCUCAGAUUGAACGCUGGCGGCAGGCCUAACACAUGCAAGUCGAGCGGUAGCACAGAGAGCUUGCUCUCGGGUGACGAGCGGCGGACGGGUGAGUAAUGUCUGGGAAACUGCCUGAUGGAGGGGGAUAACUACUGGAAACGGUAGCUAAUACCGCAUAACGUCGCAAGACCAAAGUGGGGGACCUUCGGGCCUCAUGCCAUCAGAUGUGCCCAGAUGGGAUUAGCUAGUAGGUGGGGUAACGGCUCACCUAGGCGACGAUCCCUAGCUGGUCUGAGAGGAU